CCAAUUGAUCAUGAUUAGGUCCUGAAAUUGGUAUUGGGAAGGGAAGCAGAAAAGAAAAUAAAAAGGGGGGCAGGGAGUUGCCCGAAGAUAUAACAUGGGAUUUACAAUGCAAAUGGGGCCAUGAGCAAGACAAGCAGAGGCAAAACACAUGUUCAUUUUGAUAAAAGAAGGGUUACAAGUGAUUCUAGUCUAACAAAUUUACAUCUUCACUCAGAGUAAUUAUUCGGGAAUGAUAAGUCUGCAUGAUUGUAAAAAUUCUACCAGGUUUAGCCAGAACAGUAUUGCUAUUAGCAAGUUGAGAUCUAGUGUGUUCUAGCUCUAAGUAUGACUUCUUCACUUCUUCAAUUUGAUGUUUAAGGGUACCAAGAAGGGUUGUUUGCUCAGCCUUAAGAACAAUAAGUUGUUCUUCCAACUUCUGGAUUUCAAAAGUUACCAUUCCAAUCUUUUCUUUUGUCAGCAAGCCCUCAUCCAUUAACUGUUCGACCUGAGCAGAAGUACUCGAUUCCUUCUCCCCGAAGCAUUUUACACGAUUGGCUUGUCUUUCAGCUCUCUGAUGUUGAUCCCUGAGAGCCCUCAAGUUCUCAAAGAAAGAGAAAAAGGAAUCAUGUUAGGUUUUGGAUAACUGGUCGGCCUUGAAGAGCUCUAUCGUAACCUUCUCUAUGUCAUGAUGAGCCUUAAGGCUGAACGAAGCUGAGAAGUCUUUCUUCACCCAAUCUUGGAAAGCUCGACAUUGCUCUUGAAAGCCAGAAGGUUCAGAAGAACGCUUUGAAGAUUUCAGCCUUGUUUUAAGUUGCCCGAAUUCUUCAAAAAGUUCGGGCAAAUCAGUAGUUGUUGAAAAUGAAAAAGAAGGGGGAGGGGUUCAUACUCCAGUUCUUCUGAUGGAGUAGUAACCGCUGAUGAGGCGACUUCAGUCCCGGUCCUCUCAAUUCCAGGGA
rnacentral:lncRNA from 1 species